rnacentral:lncRNA from 1 species
AAAAAACACAGAAGCAUGAAGCAUCAAAACCCCUUAGAAUUGAAAGAAAGCUUCAGGGACAAAAAUCACGCCACCUGCAUUAAAAUGUCGAUCCCUCACGAAACUUUAUGAGACGCAAUCUGUUUAAUUAGCCCUUGGAGAACCACCUCAUCUGAACACUAAAACACAACACCCACUUUUUUACUCACGAUUAGAGCCCUUUUGGCUCUUGUGAGCACGCCAUCAGAAUCCUCCGCCUCCGGUAAAAUCAAAGGAUUAUCACUGAAUGAAGAAGGGAUCUCAGACUCCCCCGACAAAGAAGAAACACUUG